rnacentral:rRNA from 1 species
GACAGAGGGUGCAAACGUUGUUCGGAAUUACUGGGCGUAAAGCGCGUGUAGGCUGUCUCGAAAGUCGGAUGUGAAAGCCCUGGGCUCAACCUAGGAGGUGCAUUCGAAACUUCGAGACUUGAGUCCUGGAGAGGAUCGCGGAAUUCUCGGUGUAGAGGUGAAAUGCGUAGAGAUCGGGAGGAACAUCCGUGGCGAAGGCGGCCAUCUGGAUCAACACUGACGCUGAGGCACGAAAGCGUGGGGAGCAAACAGG